GGGAAGGGUUAGGAGCUUGUGAAACCAUGCUCAAUCCCUUUCCCUUAAAAUAGGACUUGGCCUUCAGUGGCUCACCACAACAUAAACAUCGAUUGAAAAUAAUCUUCUUAGCCUGCAUUGAAUCAUCUUUUCUUCCAGUAGGUAGAGUAAAAUGAUGAUCUUGAUCGUUAUCAACAAACAUUUCAAUAUUCUUAUGCAAAAUCCCAACAAGAGACUUAUAUGUAUGGCCAUCAGUUGCCUUCUCUGUAGCAAAUGAAAGAAGGCAAGUCUCACACAUUUUUCUUAUAUCAGAAAGCUUCUUGUGGUUGUGACAAUAAGCCAAACGUGAAACCUCCUUCUUAUGAGACUCGCAUACAGAAUCAUUGUAAUAAAAAUCGGCAGCUCUAUGAACCAGAACAUGAUC
rnacentral:misc_RNA from 1 species